AAAACGACUCUCGACAACGGAUAUCUCGGCUCUCGCAUCGAUGAAGAACGUAGCGAAAUGCGAUACUUGGUGUGAAUUGCAGAAUCCCGUGAACCAUCGAGUCUUUGAACGCAAGUUGCGCCCGAAGCCAUCAGGCCAAGGGCACGUCUGCCUGGGCGUCACGCA
rnacentral:rRNA from 2 species